CUGCAGUCCAUGGGGUCGCUAAGAGUCGGACACGACUGAUUUCCCUCGACCUUUUUCAAAGGAAGGGCAAACAUGUGUGCUGCGUUUUGCUAUGAGGUUUUAAAAGUGCUGCACGUCACAGAUUGGCUCAACCAGGAAUGAAGCCUCUGCACUUUUGUGUCUUCUGAUGAGAAACGACUUUGAGUACACCAAAAGGAAAACCUUUUUAAGAACACAUCUGCAGAUAAUAAUUGCUGUAAGCCAGUUGAUAGUGGAUGUAGCACUAAGUGGAGGAUCGAGAUUUCAGGAGUCUUUAUUCAUUAUCAAUAACUUUACAAACAGUGACAGACCUA